CACGGUGCUAUUAAGCUUAAUAGGGAAUCCCGUGAAAUUCGGGAGCGGACCCGCCGCCGUGACCUCUUAGCAAUUCCUUUAGGGAUUGGGCAUUUUCAGUAUCCACUGCCACACCAAUGUCGGGAAGGAGAAAAUGUCGGGGUAGCCGGAAGACCUGCCGAGAAUAAA
rnacentral:ncRNA from 1 species